CACGUAGGCACCAAGCGUUGUCCGGAUUUAUUGGGCGUAAAGAGCUCGUAGGCGGUUCAGUAAGUCGGGUGUGAAAACUCUGGGCUUAACCCGGAGAGGCCACUCGAUACUGCUGAACUUGAGUACGGUAGGGGAGUGGGGAAUUCCUGGCGUAGCGGUGAAAUGCGCAGAUAUCAGGAGGAACACCGGUGGCGAAGGCGCCACUCUGGGCCGAAACUGACGCUGAGGAGCGAAAGCGUGGGUAGCAAACAGG
rnacentral:rRNA from 1 species